GUAGGUGGCAAGCGUUGUCCGGAAUUAUUGGGCGUAAAGCGCGCGCAGGCGGUUCUUUAAGUCUGAUGUGAAAGCCCACGGCUCAACCGUGGAGGGUCAUUGGAAACUGGAGAACUUGAGUACAGAAGAGGAAAGCGGAAUUCCACGUGUAGCGGUGAAAUGCGUAGAGAUGUGGAGGAACACCAGAGGCGAAGGCGGCUUUCUGGUCUGUAACUGACGCUGAGGCGCGAAAGCGUGGGGAGCAAACAGGAUUAGAUACCCUGGUAGUCCACGCCGUAAACGAUGAGUGCUAAGUGUUAGGGGGUUUCCGCCCCCCUUAGUGCUGCAGCUAACGCAUUAAGCACUCCGCCUGGGAGUACGGCCGCAAGGCUG
rnacentral:rRNA from 1 species